rnacentral:rRNA from 1 species
UACGUAGGGUGCGAGCGUUGCCCGGAUUUAUUGGGCGUGAAAGGGCGCGUAGGCGGCCACGCACGUCCGUUGUGAAAUCGCCCGGCUCAACUGGGCGGGGUCAGCGGAUACGGUGUGGCUCGAGCAAGCUAGGGGGCAAUGGAAUUCCCGGUGUAGUGGUGGAAUGCGUAGAUAUCGGGGAGGAACACCAGUGGCGAAGGCGGUUGCCUGGAGCUUUGCUGACGCUGAGGCGCGAAAGCGUGGGGGAGCGAUCCGG